UUGAAACCCACAAAACAUACUUCUCCAAACUAGCGGCCAACUUCCAUUUCUCCCGUGUUCUUAAACUCAAAUCUCGCUAAAAAAAUUCAAGGAAACAUACGGUUUAUGAAAAAUAUUAAUCAAGGCUGUAACAAUUUCAAAAAGGCAAUAUGUGGGAAGUACCAAAUCGUUAGAAUCCUGACGCUAUAUUCUCGAUUGAAUUGGUUCUACCAGAAGAAAAGUUGCAGGAAGAAGGACUAACAACCAUAAUUUCACUUUUCAUUGGCUGCUUUUAGUUGCAGGAAGAAGGACUAGCAACCAUCAUUUCACUUUUCAUUGGUUGCUUUUAGGUAUGACAUAGUAGUUAGAACAAGUUAUUAGUAAAGAUAUAAUGAAAUUAUUUGAAUAUAAAAAUCAAACUGUUAUGGUGUUAAAUUUUCAUAUUAGUUUUAUGGAAUAACAGAAUGUAAACAUUUGUUUGGAAUAAAGCUGACACAUUACAGUUUGAA